GGUAGCCGGACUGAGAGGUUGAACGGCCACAUUGGGACUGAGACACGGCCCAGACUCCUACGGGAGGCAGCAGUGGGGAAUAUUGCACAAUGGGGGAAACCCUGAUGCAGCGACGCCGCGUGGAGGAAGAAGGUCUUCGGAUUGUAAACUCCUGUUGUUGAGGAAGAUAAUGACGGUACUCAACAAGGAAGUGACGGCUAACUACGUGCCAGCAGCCGCGGUAAAACGUAGGUCACAAGCGUUGUCCGGAAUUACUGGGUGUAAAGGGAGCGCAGGCGGGAGAACAAGUUGGAAGUGAAAUCCAUGGGCUCAACCCAUGAACUGCUUUCAAAACUGUUUUUCUUGAGUAGUGCAGAGGUAGGCGGAAUUCCCGGUGUAGCGGUGGAAUGCGUAGAUAUCGGGAGGAACACCAGUGGCGAAGGCGGCCUACUGGGCACCAACUGACGCUGAGGCUCGAAAGUGUGGGUAGCAAACAGGAUUAGAUACCCUGGUAGUCCACACCGUAAACGAUGAUUACUAGGUGUUGGAGGAUUGACCCCUUCAGUGCCGCAGUUAACACAAUAAGUAAUCCACCUGGGGAGUACGACCGCAAGGUUGAAACUCAAAGGAAUUGACGGGGGCCCGCACAAGCAGUGGAGUAUGUGGUUUAAUUCGACGCAACGCGAAGAACCUUACCAAGUCUUGACAUCCUGCGACGCACAUAGAAAUAUGUGUUUCCUUCGGGACGCAGAGACAGGUGGUGCAUGGUUGUCGUCAGCUCGUGUCGUGAGAUGUUGGGUUAAGUCCCGCAACGAGCGCAACCCUUAUGGUCAGUUACUACGCAAGAGGACUCUGGCCAGACUGCCGUUGACAAAACGGAGGAAGGUGGGGAUGACGUCAAAUCAUCAUGCCCUUUAUGACUUGGGCUACACACGUACUACAAUGGCGUUAAACAAAGAGAAGCAAGACCGCGAGGUGGAGCAAAACUCAGAAACAACGUCCCAGUUCGGACUGCAGGCUGCAACUCGCCUGCACGAAGUCGGAAUUGCUAGUAAUCGUGGAUCAGCAUGCCACGGUGAAUACGUUCCCGGGCCUUGUACACACCGCCCGUCACACCAUGAGAGCCGGGGGGACCCGAAGUCGGUAGUCUAACCGCAAGGAGGACGCCGCCGAAGGUAAAACUGGUGAUUGGGGUGAAGUCGUAACAAGGUAGCCGUAGGAGAACCUGCGGCUG
rnacentral:rRNA from 1 species